rnacentral:rRNA from 1 species
AAGUCAAAUGUGAAAUCCCCGAGCUUAACUUGGGAAUUGCAUUCGAUACUGGUUGGCUAGAGUAUGGGAGAGGAUGGUAGAAUUCCAGGUGUAGCGGUGAAAUGCGUAGAGAUCUGGAGGAAUACCGAUGGCGAAGGCAGCCAUCUGGCCUAAUACUGACGCUGAGGUACGAAAGCAUGGGGAGCAAACAGGAUUAGAUACCCUGGUAGUCCAUGCCGUAAACGAUGUCUACUAGCCGUUGGGGCCCUUGAGGCUUUAGUGGCGCAGCUAACGCGAUAAGUAGACCGCCUGGGGAGUACGGUCGCAAGACUAAAACUCAAAUGAAUUGACGGGGGCCCGCACAAGCGGUGGAGCAUGUGGUUUAAUUCGAUGCAACGCGAAGAACCUUACCUGGCCUUGACAUACAGAGAACUUUCCAGAGAUGGAUUGGUGCCUUCGGGAACUCUGAUACAGGUGCUGCAUGGCUGUCGUCAGCUCGUGUCGUGAGAUGUUGGGUUAAGUCCCGCAACGAGCGCAACCCUUUUCCUUAUUUGCCAGCACUUCGGGUGGGAACUUUAAGGAUACUGCCAGUGACAAACUGGA